CAAGUACUCCCUCCGUCCGGAAAUACUUGUCAUCAAAAUGAAUAAAAGAGAUGUAUCUAGACGUAUUUUAGUUCUAGAUACAUCCCUUUUUAUCCAUUUUGAUGACAAGUAUUUUCGGACGGAGGGAGUAGUAC
rnacentral:pre_miRNA from 1 species